CAUCACUAUAAGAAGAAUCAAAGGGCCAAACUACACAUUAUAUUAGAGCUCCACCGUGAUAGGAACUCCCCAUAUAAUUUUCUUCAUGUAAAAGUUAAGCUUUAUUGAAUUUACUGUGAGAGUACAUCAUUCUUAUAAACAGCAAAAACAAAUGAAAUACCAUUGGCAAGAAGGGUCAAAGAGAAAAAGUAGCUUAAAACCAGCAUUGUAAAAACCCGGACAUACGUGGAGAUAAGCUAGAAUUUGCAUCACAAAGCCCAGUUUGUGUGUGGAGUGGGUCCAAAAAUCUCAAAAAGACUUUGAGGUAAGUUUGGC